AGAAAUCACAUAAAGAGUUUAUAUAUUCCAGAUCAUAUUUAAACGUACGUACGUAGCUUCUUGAUUACCAUAAUUAACAGCCUAGAUGAUCCAAAAUAAAUUUUAAAAAACAAAAUAGUAGAAGAAAAACACCACAUGGAACAAAUUAAUAAUUUAUUUUUCGAAAUAAAAGAAGAUAAUAACCUACAUGCAUAACAUUACAAACUAAGUUGCGAGGGAGCCGGAGACUAGAUUUCUUCAAUCAACUAAUGACGGUAUUUCUUUCUUUCCUUCUCCCACGGGAAGCUAGCUAGCCUGGCAUCAUUAGAAGCAGGCAAGAAUGCCAAAUAGAUCACAGUUUUUUCUAGAGAAAAUACCUAAGCGUAGAGAUAUCAACGUACUGACAAAGAAUUACAAGAGAAAGCUGAGUGCCACCGAGGCACAAUUACUACGUGAAAUUAAAGUUAAGCAUCUAGCUAGCUAGCUAGCUAGAACAUGAAGCAGAGAAAGGCAAGGAAGAGAGCAAAGGAGAUGAAAACUGGCUGUGCUUUCAAAUGGACAGAAUGGUCAGGCGCUGAAGGGUAGUAAGGGUAUGGUGGAAAAGGUUUAGGAUAUGGCGGAAGAGGUGGCCCAUCUGAUGGUGGCAAUGGAGGAGGGUACUCGCAAUUGUCAGGACAUGGAGGCUUGGGUGGUGGUGGGCAUUCCGGGAUGACUGGCGGUCGUGGAGAAGGUGGUGGUGGUGGAGAAGGAGGUGGUGGAGGAGAAGGUGGAGGCGGGCACUCAACCACUGGCGGUGGUGGUGAUGGCGGAGGCAUGGGUGUUCACAUUCAAUGCACAUUGAGCAUGAUAUUUCAUCUUUGGACACUGUUGUUGCUGCUCCUACUCCUGCUGUAACGUUAGUCGUGGUUGACGUGGUUAAGGAGAAGUUGGAGUGCAAGAGGAGAAGGAGGAGAGUGAAUAGUGAGAGUAAAGUCAUUGUUUAGGGUUUGCAAUCCCUAUGUUGGAG